UUGAACGCUGGCGGCAGGCCUAACACAUGCAAGUCGAACGGUAACAGGAAGAAGCUUGCUUCUUUGCUGACGAGUGGCGGACGGGUGAGUAAUGUCUGGGAAACUGCCUGAUGGAGGGGGAUAACUACUGGAAACGGUAGCUAAUACCGCAUAACGUCGCAAGACCAAAGAGGGGGACCUUCGGGCCUCUUGCCAUCGGAUGUGCCCAGAUGGGAUUAGCUAGUAGGUGGGGUAACGGCUCACCUAGGCGACGAUCCCUAGCUGGUCUGAGAGGAUGACCAGCCACACUGGAACUGAGACACGGUCCAGACUCCUACGGGAGGCAGCAGUGGGGAAUAUUGCACAAUGGGCGCAAGCCUGAUGCAGCCAUGCCGCGUGUAUGAAGAAGGCCUUCGGGUUGUAAAGUACUUUCAGCGGGGAGGAAGGGAGUAAAGUUAAUACCUUUGCUCAUUGACGUUACCCGCAGAAGAAGCACCGGCUAACUCCGUGCCAGCAGCCGCGGUAAUACGGAGGGUGCAAGCGUUAAUCGGAAUUACUGGGCGUAAAGCGCACGCAGGCGGUUUGUUAAGUCAGAUGUGAAAUCCCCGGGCUCAACCUGGGAACUGCAUCUGAUACUGGCAAGCUUGAGUCUCGUAGAGGGGGGUAGAAUUCCAGGUGUAGCGGUGAAAUGCGUAGAGAUCUGGAGGAAUACCGGUGGCGAAGGCGGCCCCCUGGACGAAGACUGACGCUCAGGUGCGAAAGCGUGGGGAGCAAACAGGAUUAGAUACCCUGGUAGUCCACGCCGUAAACGAUGUCGACUUGGAGGUUGUGCCCUUGAGGCGUGGCUUCCGGAGCUAACGCGUUAAGUCGACCGCCUGGGGAGUACGGCCGCAAGGUUAAAACUCAAAUGAAUUGACGGGGGCCCGCACAAGCGGUGGAGCAUGUGGUUUAAUUCGAUGCAACGCGAAGAACCUUACCAGGUCUUGACAUCUAACGAAUUUACCAGAGAUGGUUUAGUGCCCUUCGGGGAACGUUAAGACAGGUGGUGCAUGGUUGUCGUCAGCUCGUGUCGUGAGAUGUUGGGUUAAGUCCCGCAACGAGCGCAACCCUUAUCCUUUGUUGCCAGCGGUCCGGCCGGGAACUCAAAGGAGACUGCCAGUGAUAAACUGGAGGAAGGUGAGGAUGACGUCAAGUCAUCAUGGCCCUUACGACCAGGGCUACACACGUGCUACAAUGGCGCAUACAAAGAGAAGCGACCUCGCGAGAGCAAGCGGACCUCAUAAAGUGCGUCGUAGUCCGGAUUGGAGUCUGCAACUCGACUCCAUGAAGUCGGAAUCGCUAGUAAUCGUGGAUCAGAAUGCCACGGUGAAUACGUUCCCGGGCCUUGUACACACCGCCCGUCACACCAUGGGAGUGGGUUGCAAAAGAAGUAGGUAGCUUAACCUUCGGGAGGGCGCUUACCACUUUGUGAUUCAUGACUGGGGUG
rnacentral:rRNA from 1 species